CGACGCCGAGGGCGGGGGGCGGGGACUCCCGUCCUGCCCCGCCCACCACCCGCCCGGAGACCGCGCUGUCACGGCGUGAGCCUGCGCUGGCUCCGCCUCGUGCCGGAGCCCCGCCCCCUGUUCUAGUGCGCUGGGAGUGACGUAGUCCCGGGCCCAGCGGGCGGGUGGCGGAGACCUGAGACGGAGGGCGGGGCCGCGUAGCCCGAGUACCGGAGCCCGAGAAUGGCCUCCCCGCCCUGCCCUUGACCGCUGUCUUUGGGCUCCUCGCUUACACUCUCGAGUCUCACUUGGAGACCUCCAGCGACGUUGGCAAGGCGGGUUGGCAAGGCGGUGUGAAUGAGAUACGCGUGACAGACGGGGAACUGGUCCCACCCGAGCCCAGUUGGCCUGGGGACACCCGAGGGCCACCGGCGCGGGAUCCCAGUUGGGGCUGUGUCCUGGGCCCCGGGCCAGACCGGGCUCCCUUCCUGGGAGACCCAGUCAGUCCUCCUCUGGUGGGCAGCCCAUCAGUGCUGUCCCCUUUACAGCUGAGGAAACUGAGGCACGGUGGUUCCAGGCAGCCCAAUCCUAGUCUCUGCCAUCGGCUCCACUAGCUGGAGAGACGUCUGGAUGGGAGACGAGGUGGGAGGAGGUCAGAAGGAAACACCCUGUCGUGAGCUCAGCUACAGCAAGGACGGCCCCGGGGCAGGAGGAGCGGAGUGAGCAGAGCUCAAAAGGACAAGUCCCGCGCGGCAUGGUGGUCCCCAUCUGUAAUCCCAGCACUCCAGAGGCUGAGGCAGGAGGAUGGCCUGUUUGCCAUCCCUUCCUUGGAGCCAGCUGAUUACAGACUGAACCUCUAUAAACUUAGCAUCACUUGCUCUGAAGCCUGUCUGACAUCACUGUCCUGCCUCCAGCUUUCCUCAUCGAAGUCUGCAUGGCCAAUCUCUUCCGAACCUUCUACUCUGAACCUGUGUGUGUCUUCAUAUUGAAAGUGGGUUUUAUGCAGCCGGCCGGGGUCUUGUUUUUUUAUCCAAUUUGGCAGCGUCUGAGUUUUUGUUUCAAGUCAGAGUUUCACAGUUUAGUGUCCUUCCAGAUGUCACUUAGCUAGGCCAUGGUACCAGCUAUUUGGUCAAAUAAGCGUGGAUGUUGCCACAGUUUUUUUUGUUUUUGUUUUUGUUUUUGGUACCGGGGAUCAAACUCGGAUCCUUGUGCUUGAGUGCCACCGUUUUAAAUAAGAUCAGCAUUUAAAUCAGUAGACUUUGCUUAAAGCACAAUGUGGGUAGCCCCCACCAGUUCACUGAAGGACUUAAGGCCAGCCCCCCACCCCAGAAAGAGGGAAUUCUGCCAGCAGACGGCACAGCACACCCCACACAUUAGCCCCUGCAGCCUUGACGAUCACUCCAGCCAACAUCUCACUGGUUCUUUCUCCACAGAACGCUAACAGGUGCCAAAGCUCAUGAGUGGAAAUGCUGGUAAAGCCAAUAUGGGUGCUCAUCUAGCCUCCCCAAAGACAUUUCUACAGUGGUCCCACUCGGGGAUCCAUUAGCACCCCCCAAAACAGCAGCCUGUUUAAGACAGGGUCUCACUACGUGUUCAGGAUAGCUUUGAACUCAGUAUGUACCCCAGGCUGGCCUUAAACUCAUGACAGUUCUCCUGCCUCAGCCUCCUAAGUGCUGGAAUUACAGGUAAGCACCACCGGUCCCAGCUCAACAUUUACUGACUGCUGUGUGUGCGAUGCUGGAUUGGACCCAAGGCCUUGCACGUGCUAGCCACACACUCUACCACGGUGGCCCAUCCCUA
rnacentral:lncRNA from 1 species